CAACUACCUGAGAGAAGAAAGGAAAUCUAAUAGAGCAACAACUUAAUUCUUUUUUUUUUUUUUUUUUUUUUUUUUUGUGGGGAACCCUGAUCCCUUUAAGGGAGGAAGAGAUGUUCCUAGCAGAUAAAUUAGAGUUCCUUCGAGGCAGAAGAUGAUUUCAUUUGCAGCUGUGGCAUCCAUGAAGAACUGAACUACCGCCAGAAUGUUCU
rnacentral:lncRNA from 1 species